UGCCCGGUCCCUUGUAGGAUCCAGUUUAGAAGGUGCAGUAAACCCCCAAGCAUCAGCAUGGCUGCCCUCGACUUCAGCAGAACGUGAACAUUCUCUGUCAUGCGUGGUAACUCCUCAAGAUGGCAUAAGAUGUGCCAUCUCCAGAGCCAGUGGCUCUUUGCUAGCUUGUGUAUUGUCACUUUUCUCACAACUCAUGGAGACCUCUACAGCACCAGCAUUUCCUGGAAGCUCUGCCCAUAAUUAGUUUUGCAGAAGUGCAGCCAUGUUACAUCACUGCUCAGGAGAUCAUGCAGUUGCACAUUCUAUACUCUGCUUUUAUGAGAGAAAAGCACAUGGCAGGAAGGCAAGCUGAUAUCAGGGAGACUUUAGCACAAAUGAUAGAAGAAAAUUUGAACUGUCUUGGCCAUUUAAGCACUAUUAUUCGUGAAGCAAAUGAGGACUGCAGCAGUAGUAUGAUGAGUCUUGAUUGGAGUUGGUUAACAGAAUGACUUGCCACUUGUUCAGUGUCCCCAAAUUGAUGGAAGUUGUUGUUGCACAUGUUGGAAUUUGUUUUUUCCCCCUGAAACCAUUCUUCAGACACCAGUGAGUGGAAGAACUGGCUGUGAUCAGAAACUGCAUUUCUACUAUGAUCAUAAAAAUGAUUUUACAAGCGCAGUAUUUUUAUUCUGAGUAAUUUUAGCCUCUGAACAGAUAGGAUUUUAUAAAAAGUCAAUGAACUUGUAUAAAUAAUUGUUUUAAUACCACAGCUACUUUGGAACAUCAUUGUUGUUACUCAUUUAUCUUCAAAGAACAAAAAAUACCUUCUAAAAUUUUAACUUUGGGGUAUAAGGCCUAUUAUAGUAUUGUUGAGAAGAAAUCUCAAUUAACAUACAUUUUAAGUAAAAGUUGUCUACUUGUGUUUCUGUGGAAGAGACUGCUCACAAGUAAAGUUGUAUUUCUUGAAGAAUAAACCCUACCUCCUUGUGUUACACUCAGAAAGUUCUCUUCCUGGCAUCAUAAGGAGUUGGCUUAAUCCCAUAUUUAAUUUUACUGCACAUUCAUAAACCAUGUUAAGUGUGCUAUGUGUAUAUGUAUUUAAGAUGUACAUUUAAUAAUAUCAAAGAGAAGAUGCCUGUUAAUUUAUAAUGUAUUUGAAAGUGUGUAUGUUUCUUCAUUUGUAAAAAUGAGUCAAUUGUUUAAUCUUUCAUGUCUUGUCAUACAAAUUUAUAAAGAUGUACAUGCCCUUAUCUGUAAUUGUAAUUCCAAAAUCCAAAAAGCUCUGAAAACAAGGUUUUCAUAAGCUUACUGACAAAACUCAUUUGCUUGUAAAUCUAAUCUGAACUGACAUUGAAAUCUAUUUAUCCCAUUUAGUGUGAAUAUUCAUUUAUUUUGUUGCAGAAAUAUUGAUGUUUGAUGAUUGGGGGGAGGGUCGCUAACCCAGACUCUGCUGAGGGUUAAUGUAGUAUGGUAUAUGCACUGAAUUGCCUUUCUAAAAUCUGAAUAUUUCAUAAGUCUGAAACAUCGGGCACCCAGGACUGUGGAUUGCUAUCAUUUGUAAUUUAGAAGGUAUUACUUGUUUUACAAAAUGUGAAAUGCUUUUAUAUUCUAGUUUUUCAUUUUAUGUAUUAAAUGAUUUUUAAAUUAA